AUGUGUCAGAUGGGUGGUUGAA
rnacentral:miRNA from 1 species